UUUCGACACAGACAAAUUUCCUCGCACACAAUAUACAUAAAAUACGACAUGACAUUGAAGAUUUCAACAUUUCAACACGGUUACAAAGCUUUGCUUUGCAAAUGCUUCACCAGCGGAUCAUCAUCGACGGCUUUGGCUUCUUCGUGUUCAACUGCGAUAUGGCAAGAGAUAUCCUUGGCUCAAUAGCAACUUACAUGAUCUUCUUUAUACAAUUUAUGCCCAAGUUCAAAAGCUUCUAAGCCGCUGAAUUUUGAUUAUUAAUGUAUAUACAUGAGCGUGUAUAACUUGGAGCCACUUCAUUCCUUAUUACUAAAUAUUAAUAAGUUUAGGAAGAACAAAUUUUUGAAUUAGACGGAUUUCAAAAUUUAUUUUG